rnacentral:rRNA from 1 species
CAGCAGCCGCGGGAAUACGUAGGGUGCAAGCGUUAAUCGGAAUUACUGGGCGUAAAGCGUGCGCAGGCGGUUUUGUAAGACAGAGGUGAAAUCCCCGGGCUCAACCUGGGAACUGCCUUUGUGACUGCAAGGCUAGAGUACGGCAGAGGGGGAUGGAAUUCCGCGUGUAGCAGUGAAAUGCGUAGAUAUGCGGAGGAACACCGAUGGCGAAGGCAAUCCCCUGGGCCUGUACUGACGCUCAUGCACGAAAGCGUGGGGAGCAAACAGGAUUAGAUACCCCGGUAGUCCCUGUCUCUUAUAC